GAAGUACAAUUUCCACUGGGAGCAGAUACUCGAACUGGUUCGCCGUUGCGCUCAACGUCAUUUCCCGAAAGACGUCCGCUACAUGGUGAGAGCGAUGGAAUACGCGAAGGGUUUAUUUUCGGGCUGAUGAAAAGAAAAGCACCUGAGCAAGUAAGACAUAAAUUGAGAGACUAUUCUACGAAAUAAAAUUGUUGGCUCAUCUG
rnacentral:lncRNA from 1 species